GAGUUUGAUCGUGGCUCAGAUUGAACGCUGGCGGCAUGCCUUACACAUGCAAGUCGAACGGCAGCAUGAUCUAGCUUGCUAGAUUGAUGGCGGGUGGCGAACGGGUGAGUAAUACAUCGGGAACGUGCCCUGUAGUGGGGGAUAACUAGUCGAAAGAUUAGCUAAUACCGCAUACGACCUGAGGGUGAAAGUGGGGGACCGCAAGGCCUCAUGCUAUAGGAGCGGCCGAUGUCUGAUUAGCUAGUUGGUGGGUAAAGGCCCACCAAGGCGACGAUCAGUAGCUGGUCUGAGAGGACGAUCAGCCACACUGGGACUGAGACACGGCCCAGACUCCUACGGAGGCAGCAGUGGGGAAUUUUGGACAAUGGGCGAAAGCCUGAUCCAGCAAUGCCGCGUGUGUGAGAAGGCCU
rnacentral:rRNA from 1 species